rfam:Glomerella graminicola M1.001 genomic scaffold supercont1.112, whole genome shotgun sequence.
CCCGCUGAACUUAAGCAUAUCAAUAAGCGGAGGAAAAGAAACCAACAGGGAUUGCCCCAGUAACGGCGAGUGAAGCGGCAACAGCUCAAAUUUGAAAUCUGGCCCCAGGCCCGAGUUGUAAUUUGCAGAGGAUGCUUUUGGCGCGGUGCCUUCCGAGUUCCCUGGAACGGGACGCCAUAGAGGGUGAGAGCCCCGUACGGUUGGACACCAAGCCUCUGUAAAGCUCCUUCGACGAGUCGAGUAGUUUGGGAAUGCUGCUCAAAAUGGGAGGUAUAUUCUUCUAAAGCUAAAUAUUGGCCAGAGACCGAUAGCGCACAGUAGAGUGAUCGAAAGAUGAAAAGCACUUGAAAAGAGGGUUAAACAGCACGUGAAAUUGUUAAAAGGGAAGCGCUUGUGACCAGACUUGCGCCCGGUGAAUCACCCAGCUCUCGCGGCUGGGGCACUUCGCCGGCACAGGCCAGCAUCAGCUCGCGUCGGGGACAAAAGCUUGGGGAACGUAGCUCUCUUCGGGGAGUGUUAUAGCCCCUUGCAUAAUACCUUCGGCGGGCUGAGGUACGCGUUCGCAAGGAUGCUGGCGUAAUGGUCAUCAGCGACCCGUCUUGAAACACGGACCAAGGAGUCAACCUUAUGUGCGAGUGUUUGGGUGUCAAACCCCUACGCGUAAUGAAAGUGAACGCAGGUGAGAGCUUCGGCGCAUCAUCGACCGAUCCUGAUGUUCUCGGAUGGAUUUGAGUAAGAGCAUAUAGGGUUGGACCCGAAAGAAGGUGAACUAUGCGUGUAUAGGGUGAAGCCAGAGGAAACUCUGGUGGAGGCUCGCAGCGGUUCUGACGUGCAAAUCGAUCGUCAAAUAUGCGCAUGGGGGCGAAAGACUAAUCGAACCUUCUAGUAGCUGGUUUCCGCCGAAGUUUCCCUCAGGAUAGCAGUGUUGAACUCAGUUUUAUGAGGUAAAGCGAAUGAUUAGGGACUCGGGGGCGCUAUAUAGCCUUCAUCCAUUCUCAAACUUUAAAUAUGUAAGAAGCCCUUGUUACUUAAUUGAACGUGGGCAUUCGAAUGUAUCAACACUAGUGGGCCAUUUUUGGUAAGCAGAACUGGCGAUGCGGGAUGAACCGAACGCGAGGUUAAGGUGCCAGAGUAGUCGCUCAUCAGACACCACAAAAGGUGUUAGUACAUCUUGACAGCAGGACGGUGGCCAUGGAAGUCGGAAUCCGCUAAGGACUGUGUAACAACUCACCUGCCGAAUGUACUAGCCCUGAAAAUGGAUGGCGCUCAAGCGACUCACCCAUACCUCGCCCUCAGUGUAGAAACGAUGCGCUGAGGAGUAGGCGGACGUGGAGGUCAGUGACGAAGCCUAGGGCGUGAGCCCGGGUAGAACGGCCUCUAGUGCAGAUCUUGGUGGUAGUAGCAAAUACUUCAAUGAGAACUUGAAGGACCGAAGUGGGGAAAGGUUCCAUGUGAACAGCGGUUGGACAUGGGUUAGUCGAUCCUAAGCCAUAGGGAAGUUCCGUUUCAAAGGGGCACUUGUGCCCCGUAUGGCGAAAGGGAAGCCGGUCAAUAUUCCGGCACCUGGAUGUGGGUUUUGCGCGGCAACGCAACUGAACGCGGAGACGACGGCGGGGGCCCCGGGCAGAGUUCUCUUUUCUUCUUAACGGUCUAUCACCCUGAAAUCGGUUUGUCCGGAGCUAGGGUUUAACGGCCGGAAGAGCCCAGCACUUCUGUUGGGUCCGGUGCGCUCUCGACGUCCCUUGAAAAUCCGCGGGAAGGAAUAAUUCUCACGCCAGGUCGUACUCAUAACCGCAGCAGGUCUCCAAGGUGAACAGCCUCUGGUU